rnacentral:rRNA from 1 species
UGAGGAAUAUUGGUCAAUGGACGCAAGUCUGAACCAGCCAUGCCGCGUGCAGGAAGACGGCUCUAUGAGUUGUAAACUGCUUUUGUAUAAGGGUAAACCCAGAUACGUGUAUCUGGCUGAAAGUACUAUACGAAUAAGGACCGGCUAACUCCGUGCCAGCAGCCGCGGUAAUACGGAGGGUCCAAGCGUUAUCCGGAUUUAUUGGGUUUAAAGGGUGCGUAGGCGGCCGAUUAAGUUAGAGGUGAAAUCCCGUGGCUCAACCACGGAACUGCCUCUGAUACUGGUUGGCUAGAAAAUGGUUGCUGUGGGCGGAAUGUGUAGUGUAGCGGUGAAAUGCUUAGAGAUUACACAGAACACCGAUUGCGAAGGCAGCUCACAAAACCAAUUUUGACGCUGAGGCACGAAAGCGUGGGGAGCAAACAGG